rnacentral:rRNA from 1 species
AUUGAACGCUAGCGGGAUGCCUUACACAUGCAAGUCGAACGGCAGCACGGACUUCGGUCUGGUGGCGAGUGGCGAACGGGUGAGUAAUGUAUCGGAACGUGCCCAGUAGCGGGGGAUAACUACGCGAAAGCGUAGCUAAUACCGCAUACGCCCUACGGGGGAAAGCAGGGGAUCGCAAGACCUUGCACUAUUGGAGCGGCCGAUAUCGGAUUAGCUAGUUGGUGGGGUAACGGCUCACCAAGGCGACGAUCCGUAGCUGGUUUGAGAGGACGACCAGCCACACUGGGACUGAGACACGGCCCAGACUCCUACGGGAGGCAGCAGUGGGGAAUUUUGGACAAUGGGGGAAACCCUGAUCCAGCCAUCCCGCGUGUGCGAUGAAGGCCUUCGGGUUGUAAAGCACUUUUGGCAGGAAAGAAACGUCAUGGGUUAAUACCCCAUGAAACUGACGGUACCUGCAGAAUAAGC